ACGGAGCGGCAGACGGGAGAGUAACACGUGGGAACGUACCCUUUGGUUCG
rnacentral:rRNA from 1 species